AACCUAGACUGGUGUUCUUUCACACUUGAUUGCCUGUUACGAUCUAUCAAGAAAUUUCUGUUCAGGAAAAUGCAAAACAUAGAGUUGGAAUCUGGAGGUUGCAAGAUACUAUUAGUGAUAUCGUACUUUGAGUUUCUAAUAACUUCAGAGUUCAACUUGGGCAACAGUGUACCAAGGUUACCCCUGUGGACAACCCAUGUCGUAAACUCAUACAUCGCCCUUGAUUCACAACAAGGAAAUAGCAAAGGUUUUGGAAGACUAUCUAAAAAGCACAUAACAUCUACACCAUUCAAAGGAAGUAAGCAGCAAAUGGAAAUGCCUGCAGAAAUAAAAGAUUACAUGGAACUAAAAUUUCAAGGAAUCGCUUCA